rnacentral:tRNA from 1 species
AGUUAAUUAACUUAAAUUAAAGUUUAUAUUUUGAAAAUAUAAUUUAGAAAUAAUUAAAAUUUUCUAUUAACUU